AAAAAAUGGCACAUUGAUUUCAAUAAAAUUCUCUUGCCUUAAAUAAGCCUUUAAUUAUUCCGACAACAACAUUGACAUGUGCUCAGGUUAGCAUACUGCAUAAUAUUUGAAUGCUCAAUGACUAAAAAAAUCAACAUUUCAUAUUUUGCCAACAUAAUUUCAAAGUAAAUUACUGUUUUAUUCUUGAGUAGCUGAGUAACAUUAAUA
rnacentral:misc_RNA from 1 species